rnacentral:rRNA from 1 species
AUUGAACGCUGGCGGCAGGCCUAACACAUGCAAGUCGAACGAGUGGCGGACGGGUGAGUAAUGUCUGGGAAACUGCCUGAUGGAGGGGGAUAACUACUGGAAACGGUAGCUAAUACCGCAUACCAUCAGAUGUGCCCAGAUGGGAUUAGCUAGUUGGUGGGGUAACGGCUCACCAAGGCGACGAUCCCUAGCUGGUCUGAGAGGUGGAACAGCCACACUGGAACUGAGACCCGGUCCAGACUCCUACGGGAGGCAGCAGGGGGGAAUAUUGGACAAUGGGCGAAAGCCUGAUGGAGCCAUGCCGCGUGUAUGAAGAAGGCCUUCGGGUUGUAAAAUUCUUUCAGCGGGGAGGCGUUACCCGCAGAGGAAGCACCGGCUAACUCCGUGCCAGCAGCCGCGGUAAUAC